AACGAACGCUGGCGGCAGGCUUAACACAUGCAAGUCGAGCGCCCCGCAAGGGGAGCGGCAGACGGGUGAGUAACGCGUGGGAACGUACCUUUUGGUUCGGAACAACUCCGGGAAACUGGAGCUAAUACCGGAUAAGCCCUAACGGGGAAAGAUUUAUCGCCGAAAGAUCGGCCCGCGUCUGAUUAGCUAGUUGGUGAGGUAACGGCUCACCAAGGCGACGAUCAGUAGCUGGUCUGAGAGGAUGAUCAGCCACACUGGGACUGAGACACGGCCUAGACUCCUACGGGAGACAGCAGUGGGGAAUAUUGGACAAUGGGCGCAAGCCUGAUCCAGCCAUGCCGCGUGAGUGAUGAAGGCCUUAGGGUUGUAAAGCUCUUUUGUCCGGGAAGAUAAUGACUGUACCGGAAGAAUAAGCCCCGGCUAACUUCGUG
rnacentral:rRNA from 1 species